UGGCAAUUUCUCCUAGGCCUCAUGGAGUCUUGACCUAUACACGUGCAGAUCAGCUUUUGGCAAAUGAUGUUGAGCAGCAAGUCCCCAGACAGACUUCUGUGACUGCCAUCCUCUCUAAAGACCCGCCUUGCAAAUUCCAGCUGCCUCAGCAUACUCAAACUCUAAUCCCUGCCUCCUCAGCCAGCCCAGUGAGACUGAGCUCUGCAGAGGCUCCACUUCCAUGUGCCAGGGCAGAAAACUGUUCCCAGACAGAAGCAAGGGCUUACCUCAUGUAUAUAUCUUCCUUUUAGAUGUUCAAAAAAUACCAUCUCAGAGAAAAACUUGUCUCUCUUCCCAGGGCCGUCCUGUCCUAAAGAGCCGGAACAGCUGCGGAAGCUCUUCAUGGGAGGGCUGAGCUUUGAAACAACCGAUGAGAGCCUGAGGAGCCCUUCUGAGCAGUGGAGAAGGCUCACAGAUUGUGUGGACUCCAAGUGAAGGUGAAAGAGACCAGACGAGACCUUUCCUAAUUCCAUUCAUCUCUGAGGGAUUUAUAAGGAAGUUACCAACCCCUGGUCUAAAUAAUCAAACAGAGAAAAGAAGAAAAGGAAAAAAGGAUCAGAGGACACAGAAGAAUUUCUGGACACACUUCCAUCUGCUAAUUAAAUGGAAGGAGCAAGUUUGGGUUUUUUUGUUUUUCCUCUACCUCAAUCAAAGACUAUGAAUCUUUCUUUUAAUCUCUGGAGCUAACUUCUCUAAUUAGUUUCCUAGAGGAAGAGGAUGCUUUACUAUUGGCAUUUCACACUCUGCACAAUGGUAUGAACUUGACAUACCUCAGCUGAUCCAGCAGAAAGAGCUCUAAAACUCAAAAGUUAUGUCAUCAGUAACUGUCAAUAGAUAGAAGUGUUCGCAGGUACUACUAGUUCCAAUACUCAUUGACUUUGUAACAACUGGUAUAUUAGCUACAAUCAAACAAAAUGAGGUAUUCUUUACAAGAAUUACAUAAGCCCUUUCCAAUAAAUUUUCUGUAACGAUGGAAA
rnacentral:lncRNA from 1 species